GGCGGACCCACCUCUGCCACACCGCUUGCUCAUUGGCUGAACCCGCCCAACACUCAGCUGUGAGCCGGCGUCCUACUGGCAUCAACCACGCGCGCUCUAAGUCUCGGUGGCGUCCUAACGCUGCGGCAGAGGGCCCCGAGGCGGGGACGGAACCUAAGUGUGUCCCGACUCGCCGGGAGCCCCGGGGCGCACCCUCCGCCCGCAGAAGUGGUAGCCUCUCGUCCCCGCACGCCGGUCUCAGGGCUUCACCGGAGUUAACACAGCCAAGACCUUGGCUUCCCAGGUAAUUUAUUACAGAGAUCUGGCUGGGCUUCACAGUGGAGUCUGGAGGCCUUGUGGGGGAUGACAAAGGAGGAACCGGAUCUUGUCUUUAAACAAAGCUGAAGCAGAGGCGGAGAGCCGGUGUUUGGCUAUAUGAGAGGCCUCCAUAUGCUGGCUCUUCCAGCCCACACUGGGGACCAUUGUUCAGAGAUUGAGAAUCAUCGCUGCAGCCUGCACUGAUUAGUGCACCCCUCCCACACGCAACAAGAAAUUGCUUUCCAAAUACUCUUUCAUAGAAAUAGAAACUGCAAACAAUAAAGCAGUAUUUCAUCAUUAGUUAUUAUUAAAUGUUGCCGAUGUUCUUAGAGAUAAAAGGUGAAGAUCUUUCAGGCCCCCCCCCGCCCACCUUGAUCCACCCAUCCCCACCUCACCUCACUUGAAAAGUUGUUCCAAUUGGACUUCUGUGAGUUACCCAAAGAAUGUCCAGAUACCUGUAAAAUAUGAAGGAAAACAUGCUCUUCAAUCUUGUUUUCCGUUCAGGGAAGGCAGUAGUAUUUACUGAGCUCCUGGCAUAUGUCAAGACAUUUUCACAGACAAUAUUUAAUUUCCUUUAUGACACUUAGAGAUUCUCAUGCAUGUUGAUGUGGAAACUGAGGGUCAGAACAAUUAAAAAAUGUAUUAAAGAUCACAUAGCAAAUAAUUAGUAAGAACAGCAUUGUAAACUAAAUCUACCUCCUUCCUUUCUUCAAUUGAUUCAUCUUCCAAAACAUGAAUAGAGAGAGAUACAACAGAAACACAUGAAAUGGAACACAUAUUGAGCUUAUUUUAAAAUUAAUUGUUUCCUCCUAAGAGGCAACAUAGACUGGUAAAAAUCCUUAAAAAAAAAAAAAAAAAAAAAAAAAAAAAGGAAGCCUUCCUGGUAUUUGAAAAUGACCACAUUUUUUCAGUAGGUGUCAGUGGGUCAAAUUUUGAUUUUUCCAUUGAAACUCCUGGGAAGGUAGAAAACAC
rnacentral:lncRNA from 1 species